GCCCUGGUAGCUCAACUGGAUAGAGCGGCUCCGUCCUAAGGAGAAGGUUGUAGGUUCGACUCCUAUCCGGGGUACCA
rnacentral:tRNA from 2 species